CAGUAGAGGUAGAGAAUUUGGUAUCAGAACUUUUUCGCAUUGCUGAAGAUAAGGUGUUCGACGAAAUGUCAUACAGAACAGUGGGCUCUGAGAUUCAUGAUAUUAACACUAUUGUCAGCUUCUGCAAAGAUGUCAGCUUGCAAACCAAGGUGCCUACAUCAGGUUUGAACGAACCCAACCUCUGGUCAAGUUGAUAAACUUAUGGAGGACAAUAUUGAUCAAGACAGGAUGCAACCUUUAAAUGUUUCCACUUUGGCAUCAGCAGUUGCCAAUCCCGAUACAGUCAAUCAAUAUGAGCUGGAUGAUAAGGAACUUCCUAUCCAGAUUCCAGAAAUAAGGAUUGUGGUAUGCUGUCAAACUAGCUUUGAUUAUGUGACACCAAUGCAGAGGAAUAGGCAACCUGAUCGAUGGAACAAGUCUCCUUACCUGACAGAGUUCAGGUCCGAUUCAGGCACUAUGGUCGUGUUGAAGUCCUAUUUUUGACAUAAAACACUUCAUUUGACUUUUACGUUAGAAUUCUUUCAGAAGGGAUAAGGAUGGCCACUACAAAUAGAAAUCAACAAUCAUUCUGUUGUCAAGCUUGUCACUAGAAAGGAUUGAUUUCACCAAACGUCUUUUGCCAGGCAAUGUUGAAAUGUUGAGAAGGGAUACUCGUCACUACAAAUGAUUGAUUUCACCAAACGUCUUUUGCCGGGCAAUGUUGAAAUGACGAGGGAAGUUGGAAGUGUGAAGAAGGCAUUCACUCUUCCACGAGAGGUGCAUGUUCAAGUAACCCAUUCCAUGCCACCAGAAAAGAUUGAAGUUUUUUGAUAAAUUGCGCGAUUGGGCUGCACAGAAUCUCUUGGUGUGCCAAAAGCCUGUCAAGAUAUGUUGGCAGCCUACUGAUUUUCUUCCUGAUCCUGCUUCCGAGGGAUUUGAUGAGCAGGUCAAGGAGCUAAGGGAAAGAUGUAAGGAAAUUCCUGACGACUACUUUGUUGUAUUAAUUGGGGAUAUGGCCCUUCCAACUUAUCAGACCAUGAUAAAAACCCUGGAUGGUGUUCCUGAUGAAACUGGAGCCAGAACCACUCCCUGGGCUAUUUGAACUAGGGCAUGGACAGCGGAGGAAAAUUGGUAUGGUUAUCUUCUCAACGAAUAUCUUUAUCUUUCUGGAAGAGUGGAUAUGAAGCAAAUUGAAAAGACAAUCAAGUACCUAAUUGGUUCUCGCAUGGGACAUGUGUUAGAGAUCAUCAACAAGCGCUUCGUUGAAGAUCUAUUUCUUUCCUGAUAGUGACUCUACUUUUGGAGAUGGAAAAUCUGUGGAGGAGGGUGCCGUCACAGUACUAUUUGAACGUCCAGAUGCAAAGUUUCCUGUUGGGCAAGUACUCUCAGUGCAAAUUGGUAUCACUUUCUACGUUUGCAAUAGACUUGUACAGUCUGAUAUGUGCUUAUACGAAUCGUAACAUUCUGAUUUUUUCUCUUGGCCAUGUUACUUUGUUGGAUUGGAUAACAAGUCCAGGGACGGGUUCUUUAAGGGACUUGCCACACUCUACACCUGCGGUGAAGAGUGAAGAGGAAGAUAGUGGUGGAGUGAUCUGCAAAAAGAUGAUAAUUUCUCUACUUGAGAAAUUGGAAUAUUAUGAUGUUGUUAUACUUAAGAUUCCAAUCUUGGUUCAACUCACAUCUUUCAUUGUAUCUCUUAUUGAUAUGUACACCAAACUUGAGGCUAUGGUUCAUGUUAAAGCAAUUUUCUAUGACUAACUGACAAAACAAUUAUAUUAGUUCUACUCUACAGUAUAGUGGUAAUUUUAGCAAUUCCAGGGAAUCCAUGAUUCUUGUUAGUUACUUGAAAUCAAUUUGGUUGUUGCUAUUGGAACCACUGCCUCAUGCUUCCAUUUUUAGAAGGCAUUUCCUAAGAGUUGCACAUAACUAUAAAGUGUUGUACAAUUGGUGGAUUCAUUUAGGACUUAAUGCGUACAAGCAACAUGAUGCCCCCAAGCCUUUUAAUUUAGAUCACAGAAGAUCCAUAUCACAGGACAUAGACCGCCAAAUACCCAUGAUUAUCAACCUGUUGAUAGCGCAGACAGGAUGCAACCUCUAAAUGUUGCCACUUUGGCGUCAGCAGUUUCCAAUCCCGAUAUAGCCAAUCAAUAUGAGCUGGAUGAUAAGGAACUUCCUAUCCUGAUUCCAGAAACAAGGAUUGUGGUAUUCUGUCAAACUAGCAUUGAUUAUGUCAUGCCAAUGCAGAGGAAUAGGCAACCUGGUUGAUGGAACAAGUCUCCUUACCUGAGUUCAGAAGGGAUAAGGACGAGCACUUCAAAAAGAAAUCAACAAUCAUUCCUCUAUCGUUUGAUUUUGUUGUCAAACUAGUCACUACAAACGAUUGAUUUCACCAAACGUCUUUUGCCGGGCAAUGUUGAAAUUAUGAGGUGCGUCUGUAUUUGAGAUAUAGCCUUCCGCAUGUCUGAUACACUUGACGACACUUGCUGUGUAGUUACCACCACAUCAUAGAUGUAUGAAAAGUCUGCUUCUGGCUUCUGCUAAUUACAGGGAAGUGGGAAGUGUGAAGAAGGCAUUCACUCUUCCACGAGAGGUGCAUGUUCAAGUAACCCAUUCCAUGCCACCAGAAAAGAUUGAAGUUUUUUCAUUAUCUGCGCGAUUGCGCUGCACAGAAUCUUUUGGUGCUCCUAAAGCCUGUCGAGAAAUGUUGGCAGCCUACUGAUUUUCUUCCUGAUCCUUCUUCUGAGGGAUUUGAUGAGCAGGUCAAGGAGCUAAGGGAAAGAUGUAAGGAAAUUCCUGACGACUACUUUGUCGUAUUAAUUGGGGAUAUGGCCCUUCCAACUUAUCAGACCAUAAUAAACACCCUGGAUGGUGUUCGUGAUGAAACUGGAGCCAGCAUCACUCCCUGGGCUAUUUGGACUAGGACAUGGACAGCGGAGAGAAAUUGGUAUGGUGAUCUUCUCAACAAAUAUCUUUAUCUUUCUGGAAGAGUUGAUAUGAAGCAAAUUGAAAAGACAAUCAAGUACCUACUUGGUUCUGGCAAGUGCUUUCUUCCAUCGGCUUUGACGAGGAGGGCCGGCUACCUCUUCCUUUGCAUCAGCCUACUACACAGGAAGAUCACAGGCGGACCAUGUGUUCAAUAAAUUGCCGGUGAAGUAUAACUAUGUAGAGUCCGUGGAAUUGAUUACUAAAAAACCUCGUGAAGACAUAGAGACACCACAAAUUGGGAAUAUAAAUUCAGUAGAAGAAAAUUUGAUACAUGAACCUUAUUCCAUUACCCAAGAUCACGUGUUCGACAAGUCCAUGAGGUUGAGCACUCUGUAACUAAAGUAUCCAACGAUAGCUUCUACAAAGAAAUCAAGGUACCUCUUGCGGUGUUGGAUGAUACUGACGGAUCUAAUAAUGAGGAGAAAAAUUCACACGAUAAUGUAGCUUUGUGUAAAAAAUCUCCUCCACUGAAUACAUCUGGUUUGCUGGUUGCUUUUCUUGCCAAGGAACUAUGAUAUCAAAUGCAAGUUCGCGGCUCGCUGAAAUCGAAUAUUUGUUUGCUAAUACUUUAUGACUUUGCACAAUUCCCUGUUGGCAUAUUUCUCUUGAAGUAUUUCGCGGGGGUAACCAAAGUGGAAUGUUGCUUUGCCUUGACUUUCGCUUACGCAAAUGCAAUUGGGUUGAUACUGGACAGGAGUUCACUCUUCCGGGAUUCUUGUUGUUUGGUAUAGGUGCUCACAGGAACUGCAACAGUCUGGCUUUGUCUCUUGGAAGUUUCAUUUUUUUGGUUGGAUAAUGGGGUCAAGGAAGGUUUCUUUCAGGGCGUUGCUACACUCUACACCUACUGUGACGAAUGACGAGUGACAAGGUAGAUAGUGGUCCAUUGCUUAGCAAAAGGAUAAAAAUAUAUUUCCUAGGGGAAAAGAUUGUUGAAGCUCUAUGUCUUGAUAACUUUUUCGGAGAAUGAGCUUUCCAUUCCAACGAGUGAAAUGCAUUAUGUUGAAGUAUAUCUUAGAGCUGAAAAUGGAAAAUCUGCUGAGGGAUUCAAUGGUCAAGAUAUUUUGAGUCAAUUUCAUUUAUCCCUGAUGCUAACUUCCUUACUGUAAUCAUUCACGUGACCGCAGCGGAUCCUUGUGCCUGGGAUCCAGGAAUAGGUUUCAAGUUCAUGCCUUUAACAAGUUAUACAGUGAUCCAUGUGGAGGAACUGCUAUUGCUGGGAUGUACUGACAAGUUUUUCUUAACUGUUUAUUCAAACUGUAUGAGUAGAAUUGUGGGAUCCGGACAACCAUGGUGUGUAAAUUCCUACGUGAAUGAGUGCUCCAUUUUCUAUAGCUGCAUUCCGUUCACAUGUCCUUCAAUUGCAUAUACACUAUUCUUAGAUGAAUAAUAUGAUGAUGAAACAUGAAGUUUGGCAGCCAACUUCAAGCACACAUCAAUUUUGCAUCUUCACUAUAUAAUUGUACUUUCUAUCAUAUUACUGGAGUGGAAAGUAAUAAUAUUAUAGAGUGGAUAGAAUGUGAAGCUUCAGGUUGAGCACCCUUCUGCAGGUUACACACUUUAUGGGGUCAUUGAGAUGUUUGAGUGGGCCACGUGACAUAGAUUACAUCGUGGAUUAAGUGCUGCACUAAUUUUUGUUAUCCUCUUGAACAAGUGUGUGGUUGCAGGGCUGGUUAUAACUGAACUCCAUUUGAUAAUGCCGAAGAGUUUUUACUGUAAGUCAGAAAGAACGUGGCUGUAAUUGCUUGAUAUCAGUUCCAAUGGAGAGAUUUGGUGGAAGGUGAACUUCUAACAUAAUUUUCUAAUACUUCAAGGUGGAUAAUUUUAGCUUCUACAGGUCUGCUCAUGUUAAGGAGUACUGUCUUUAUCACAUUUCAAGUGCUUUUGGAGCUUCCUUUGAUCUUAGCAGUACUAUUGGUGAAAUUCUUGGUAUCCAUUAUUUGACAAUAUUACCUACAAUUUGGCCUAUCAGGUGAAUAUUUCAGUUGAUAUAAAGGAAUUGAUGUUAAGGAAGAAUGGAGUGAGAAGGGGCAUUGCAGCCCCUGUUAACCAUGUGUAUGUUGCUGUUAGAAAAUUAUGACAAAGUUCCCUUAUGUUGCUGCUAGUGGUACUUCUAGAAGUUUGGGUGAUAUCUUUAGGCGCAUUGCUCUUUUGGACACAUCUCACAUUGUUAAAAGUCUCUGGCUUGUUAUUCCGGACCUAAGCAAGAAUUAUGCAACUAUCGCUAGACUACUCAAAGCUGCCAACCAAAUUAUGAUAUUGUUCCUAAAGGUUUUUGCCUGUUUUAGCCUAGUUUAUAACACUUCAAGUUGCCAGGUGACAUUUCCUAUGAACCUUGAGGACAAGAUUCUUUCUGGGGAUGGGUGUAUUGUUGUGAACCAAGCUAGCUUUGUAAGGCCUAUGAGUUAGAAGUGGUGAAUAAGAUUGGGCCGAGUAAAAUGUUGGAGUAUUUUAUUUGGGAUUCAGGCCCAGUUAGCAUCUGGUUAAAGGGAGAAGAGGUUAUGCGUGUUAUGAAGAAAAUGUAUGUUCCUCUCAUCUUCUUCUAGAGUCUACACUUCCCGUCCCAUUCUUAUCUCUAUCAUUAGGUACUUGUUAUUUCAAUAUUUUCUAUUGUAAUUCAAUAGUUUAAGUGUUGCCAUAGUAAUUGGGCUAUCAGUGAUUAUAUAAUACUUGGUAUUUGUGUUGAGAAUUAUGGUUUGUUACACAAUUGCAAAAAGAAAAACCAAGACUCUA